UGAGCUGUGGGGAGGAGUCAAAGUCUAAUCAUACUCGGAGAUAUCUCGUUCUCCUCGAAAUAGUUUUUGGGCUAGCCUCACGUUAUACCUUGUAGGGGUAGAGCGACUGAUUGGGACUGGGGGGCACCAGCCUACCCACCCCAGCCAAACUCCGAAUACUACAAGGCCCUAUCGUGGGAGUCAGACCGUGGGGGAUAAUCUUCAUGGUCAAGAGGGAAACAACCCAGACCGCCAGCUAAGGUCC
rnacentral:rRNA from 12 species